rnacentral:rRNA from 1 species
GACGAACGCUGGCGGCGUGCUUAACACAUGCAAGUCGAACGAAAAGACCCUGCGUUUGUGGGGUGCUCGAGUGGCGAACAGGUGAGUAACACGUGAGUAACCUGCCCUUGACUGUGGGAUAAAUUCAGGAAACUGGGGCUAAUACCGGAGAGGAGCUCCUGCUGCAUGGUGGGGGUUGGAAAGUUUCGGCGGUGGGGGAUGGAAUCGCGGGUUAUCAGCUUGUUGGUGGGGUAGGUGUGUACCAAGGCUUUGACGGGUAGCCGGCCUGAGAGGGUGACCGGCCACAUUGGGACUGAGAUACGGCCCAGACUGCUACGGGCCGCAGCAGUCGGGAAUAUUGCACAAUGGGCGCGCGUCUGAUGCAGCAAUGUCGCGUGCGGGAUGCCGGCCUUUGGGUUGAAAACCGCUUUCGCCGGUGACGAAGCGGGAGUGACGGUAACUGGUAAAGAAGCACCGGCUAACUACGUG